UUGGCAGAUCAUAUCUCUCAAUCCAGAUGGAAACUAAGGACAUCUGGAUGGUGAAAGAAGGACAGUAACUUGUUAAACUAUUCCCUUCAGGAACUAUUUACUUACUGGUACUGGGCAUGUGUUUAGCAUCAUCCAUGCCCUAACUGUGGAUGUCCUAGAGUUUCCAUAACCUUUCCUUCAGUUCUUUCUUUUCUGGAGACAAGAGUGAUUCAGCCUUAUACUGUGUUUUAGGGAGACUGCAUGUAGCUUGAUCUAAUGCUAUUUUGUUCCUAAAGGGAAUAAAAUCCAGGGAAUCUAGGUUGAAUUGGGCAAACUUCUCUAGAAUGGUAAUUCACAAGGUACUGGAGUACUAGGUCAGGUAACUUUAUAGUGUAGCCUGACAUUAAAUAUCUUAAUUUAAAAAAUCAACAGCACUCUCUUUAUAUCUGCCUACUUUCAACCGUCACUUUAAUAUGAUGCAUUUUCAAUAACAGAAUCCCACACAGCCUUCAGGUUUUAAAACAAUACAAUGAACAAGGUCCCAACACCAUCUCUGUAGACUGACUAAUAACAAUAUUUCAUUGUUAUCUUAAAAUUCGGAAUGCG